ensembl:lncRNA
CAGCAAACCAGCUAAGAACAAAAGUAGGUUAACAAAAGCUUGUAUUAAUUUAUUGAUGAGAGUUGAAAAGGAAGAAAAAGAUUAUGACGUUUAAGGAAUGGUACUGAAUUACUAGGUUUCUUGGAGGAACUCCGCUAUGCUGUUCAACAAAAACCUGUGCUUACUUGCUCACUUUUAACCCCACUUGGAUAGAUGGUCCAGAAAAUCUAGCUUUUUCCAUUGUCCCAUCCAAAACUAUUUAUUCAGUACCUACUUCUUGCUGAGCACUAUAGACAGAAGGAACCUGGGAGCCAGCAGGAGAACACAAUGCCACCCAUAAUAUGUACCUGCGAUCUGCCCAACAUUUUCAGGUCUUCCCAAGGAGCAGCCGAGAACAAGCCCCAGAAUUUGGUGGAAAUGAGGCA